rnacentral:rRNA from 1 species
AGAAUCAACGCUGGCGGCGUGCCUAACACAUGCAAGUCGCACGAGAAAGGGGAGCAAUUCCUGAGUAAAGUGGCGCACGGGUGAGUAACACGUGAAUAAUCUACCUCCGAGUGGGGAAUAACUGAGAGAAAUCUUAGCUAAUACCGCAUAACACUUACGAGUCAAAGCAGCAAUGCGCUUGGAGAGGAGUUCGCGGCCGAUUAGUUAGUUGGCGGGGUAAUGGCCCACCAAGACGAUGAUCGGUA